AUUGAACGCUGGCGGCAUGCCUUACACAUGCAAGUCGAACGGCAGCACGGGAGCAAUCCUGGUGGCGAGUGGCGAACGGGUGAGUAAAGUAUCGGAACGUGCCCAGUCGUGGGGGAUAACGUAGCGAAAGUUACGCUAAUACCGCAUACGAUCUAUGGAUGAAAGCGGGGGAUCGCAAGACCUCGCGCGAUUGGAGCGGCCGAUGUCAGAUAAGGUAGUUGGUGGGGUAAAGGCUGACCAAGCCGACGAUCUGUAGCUGGUCUGAGAGGACGGCCAGCCACACUGGGACUGAGACACGGCCCAGACUCCUACGGGAGGCAGCAGUGGGGAAUUUUGGACAAUGGGCGAAAGCCUGAUCCAGCCAUGCCGCGUGCAGGAUGAAGGCCUUCGGGUUGUAAACUGCUUUUGUACGGAACGAAAAGGUUUGGCCUAAUAAGCUGAGCUCAUGACGGUACCGUAAGAAUAAGCACCGGCUAACUACGUGCCAGCAGCCGCAGUAA
rnacentral:rRNA from 1 species